AACGAACGCUGGCGGCAGGCCUAACACAUGCAAGUCGAGCGAGGACUUCGGUUCUAGCGGCGGACGGGUGAGUAACGCGUGGGAAUGUGCCCUUCUCUACGGAAUAGCCCUGGGAAACUGGGAGUAAUACCGUAUACGCCCUAUUGGGGAAAGAUUUAUCGGAGAAGGAUCAGCCCGCGUUGGAUUAGGUAGUUGGUGGGGUAAUGGCCUACCAAGCCGACGAUCCAUAGCUGGUUUGAGAGGAUGAUCAGCUACACUGGGACUGAGACACGGCCCAGACUCCUACGGGAGGCAGCAGUGGGGAAUCUUAGACAAUGGGGGCAACCCUGAUCUAGCCAUGCCGCGUGAGUGAUGAAGGCCUUAGGGUUGUAAAGCUCUUUCAGCUGGGAAGAUAAUGACGGGACCAGCAGAAGAAGCCCCGGCUAACUCCGU
rnacentral:rRNA from 1 species